ensembl:ncRNA asRNA:CR44416 antisense RNA:CR44416
GCACCUAGCUUUAACAUUUUCCUAUAUUGUGGUUGCGCUUUCACACGCCGCUUAUAUUCUAUAGGAAAAUAAAAUUAAAUCGCUCAAAAAUCACCGCCUGUCCCUCGAUAUUUUAUACACGUCAGCGGCCGAGACAACUAUCGAUAUGUUUCUGGAUCAACAAACAUCGAUGCGUAAACGAAGAACCAUCGAUGCCCGCUGCAAGAGUGACCGUAUGCAUGCUCUACUGUAAACUCAACCGUUAUAAAACAUUACGUUUAGAUUGAAUUUAAAUAAAAUGU